AGAUUUUAAAAGUAAAGAUUUUAAAAAAUAGAGUACAUCAUGUAAUUCCUCUAAUUAAUUUACACAAUCCUAAAUCAAUUAACCUAAUUCACGUUUGAUUUAAAAAAAAAAACCUAAUUCACGUUUCCAUCUGCAUCUCCUUCUCCAUCUGCAUCUCUUUGCCAUUUCUUUCCUUUUGUUGCCCUACUUCACUAACCUGACAGCAAAUAUAUAAUUUCUCUAAUCUAACAAUUGAACUCAUUGAUUCUGUCGGUUCAGAGAGACUAGGACCGAAGACCGCAAUUACAAAGUGUUUGAUUUAGUAGAAAUAAUGAAAUGGGCGCUUGAUGACAUAUCGAUUUGAUUGAAUCAAAAUCUUUCGGUCGAUUAGCACGGGUAUGGGUUGAGGCCAAGAAAGCGAGCAGCGGAGCCAUCCGGUUUAAUCUAAUCGAAGACAGCCCGCUGGAACAAGAAAAAGCUGAAAGGUUAAGACAUUGAUGAACAGGUAUCGAUCACUUGAUAUAGAGGAUGUGACAUGAAUCAUGAAAAUGGAAAGAAGCAUCUCUGGUUUACCGAACUAAAGUUCCUCGAAUCAAAGGCAUCAGCAGCAUACUACUAUAUCAUGGCCUGAUCCUAGACAAGGGGACCGAACAGUUUCAGCGAUGUACAUGGUAAUGGCUUACCUGGAACUAGUCCUCCAAGCUUCAAGAAAUUAGAGAGUUUGCUUACAUGUAAGUCAUUAAGCAUAUUAAACUAUUGUUGUUUUGGAAAUAGAGAUUUUCUCCAAGUGCUCAAAAGCAUGCUAAAUUAUUGCUGUUCUUUUGAGGUUUUGAACCUUGUCAACAAAACAAAAGAUGUUCCCCAUGAGGUUAGCUUGAUCGACUCUUCUGUUGAUAAUUCUUAUUGAAUUAUUGAGCGCAUAGUUCCGUUUGCAUUUUCAUCAGUUGAUGCUCUACUAAAUGUUAACAUUCCAUGUUUUGAUUGUUAAAUUUUGUUUGCUUCUUGUUGUUGUUUAACUUUGUAUCUGUUCACAAGGUGGAGAUUUGACUCUUGGUGAUACUUAUGAGCAGCAAGUUGUAGUCAGUUUCACAUUGGGAUGGAAUGGAAUGAAGUUGCCUUUAUCACAAAGCAGGACAUAAAAUUAACUGAACUAAGUCAUUUUGGUUUAAGCUAUAACAUUUAUAGUUGAAUUCUUGUGCAGGUCUUGAAUUUUAGUUCUAGGAGUCUUGGUGGGCUACUUUCGGAGCUAUUUCUAGUCUAUUUUUCUAGUCUGCUGCAGUUUCUGGCAACUGCUGCUUGCUGCAAUCCCUGUUUCUAUUCCGCUUCUUCAGCUGUUGCUAUUUCUACAGGCUGCUGUUUUUGCAUUAGCAGCAGCCCCUCCAGCUAAGACAGCUUCCUCGAGCACAAGAACAGUUUGGGUCGGCUUUUCAACCUCAGCAACUUUUUGUCGAUGUAUUUUGUCUCCUGAUUACAAUAGAAGAAGGUUAAAAUUGUGUCAUCGACGCUUCUCUUAUUCUUAUUCGCUAGAGAGCAAAGCUUAAGGAGGCAUUUUGUAAAUUUAUUGGACAACCAGUAUCAAUCUUAUUGUCCAAUAGAACUUUACCUCCACAUGAACCAGCGGUUGUUAGAAGAGCUGUUAACCAUUUCUUACAGAUAUGAAGAGUCAUUUCAUAAAGACAACUUUAUUAGGAAAAGAAGCAUCAUCAAGCACCACGACAGAAACCACCAGCUAGAGCUAGCCCAAAGAGAACAAAGCAUUCAAGAUACGAUGUUAGUUCGGAUUUAAGAGAUGUUGAAGAAUAUGCAAAAAGGUAUACCUCCUAGCAGAAGGGCAGAGGUUUGAGUGGGCUAUCGAGUUUUCUUUUUAGUUUUAUUAUCGUGUUGUUUUUAUCGCACUUACAUGUGUUAAACUGUAAUGUAUUGACAUAUUUGAAUAUAAGAGUUAACUUUUAAUUUGAAUUA